rnacentral:rRNA from 1 species
UACGGAGGAUGCAAGCGUUGUUCGGAAUUAUUGGGCGUAAAGGGCGUGUAGGCGGUUAGCUAAGUCAGAUGUGAAAUCCCUAGGCUUAACUUAGGAACUGCAUUUGAAACUGGUUAGCUAGAGUACGGGAGAGGAAGGUGGAAUUCCUGGUGUAGAGGUGAAAUUCGUAGAUAUCGGGAAGAACACCGGUGGCGAAGGCGGCCUUCUGGCCCGAUACUGACGCUGAUACGCGAAAGCGUGGGGAG